GACAGAGGGUGCAAACGUUGUUCGGAAUUACUGGGCGUAAAGCGCGUGUAGGCGGCCCUGCAAGUCGGGUGUGAAAUCCCGCGGCUCAACCGUGGAAGUGCACUCGAAACUGCAGGGCUAGAGUCCUGGAGAGGAAGGUGGAAUGCUUGGUGUAGAGGUGAAAUUCGUAGAUAUCAAGCGGAACACCGGUGGCGAAGGCGGCCUUCUGGACAGUGACUGACGCUGAGGAGCGAAAGCGUGGGGAGCGGACAGG
rnacentral:rRNA from 1 species